UACGAGGGGGGCGAGCGUUGUUCGGAAUUAUUGGGCGUAAAGGGUGCGUAGGCGGUUUGGUAAGUCUGAUGUGAAAGCCCUGGGCUCAACCUGGGAAUGGCAUUGGAUACUGGCGAUCUAGAGUGCGGUAGAGGGCAGUGGAAUUCCCGGUGUAGCAGUGAAAUGCGUAGAGAUCGGGAGGAACAUCUGUGGCGAAGGCGACUGCCUGGACCAGCACUGACACUGAGGCACGAAAGCGUGGGGAGCAAACAGG
rnacentral:rRNA from 1 species